GAAACUGGUGCUAAUACCGGAUAGUCUUUUUUUAAUGCGAGUUAGAGGGAGUAAAGGUGGCCUCUUCACGAAAGCUACCGUAUAGGGAUGAGCCUGCGUACCAUUAGCUAGUAGGUGGGGUAACGGCCCACCUAGGCAACGAUGGUUAGCGGGUCUGAGAGGAUGAUCCGCCACACUGGAACUGGAACACGGACCAGACUCCUACGGGAGGCAGCAGUGAGGAAUAUUGCGCAAUGGGGGCAACCCUGACGCAGCGACGCCGCGUGAGUGAGGAAGGUUUUCGGAUCGUAAAGCUCUGUCAGAAGGGAAGAAGUGUUAUAUGGUUAAUACCCAUAUAAUUUGACGGUACCUUCAGAGGAAGCACCGGCUAACUCCGUGCCAGCAGCCGCGGUAAUACGGAGGGUGCGAGCGUUGUUCGGAAUUACUGGGCGUAAAGGGCGCGUAGGCGGCUUGAUAAGUCAGAUGUGAAAGUCCAUGGCUCAACUGUGGAAGUGCAUUUGAAACUGUCUGGCUUGAGUAUCGGA
rnacentral:rRNA from 1 species